rnacentral:rRNA from 1 species
GAUUAAGUUAUUAAGGGCGCACGGUGGAUGCCUUGGCACUAGAAGCCGAUGAAGGACGUUACUAACGACGAUAUGCUUUGGGGAGCUGUAAGUAAGCUUUGAUCCAGAGAUUUCCGAAUGGGGAAACCCAGCAUGAGUUAUGUCAUGUUAUCGAUAUGUGAAUACAUAGCAUAUCAGAAGGCACACCCGGAGAACUGAAACAUCUUAGUACCCGGAGGAAGAGAAAGAAAAUUCGAUUCCCUUAGUAGCGGCGAGCGAAACGGGAAGAGCCCAAACCAACAAGCUUGCUUGUUGGGGUUGUAGGACACUCUAUACGGAGUUACAAAGGACGACAUUAGACGAAUCAUCUGGAAAGAUGAAUCAAAGAAGGUAAUAAUCCUGUAGUCGAAAAUGUUGUCUCUCUUGAGUGGAUCCUGAGUACGACGGAGCACGUGAAAUUCCGUCGGAAUCUGGGAGGACCAUCUCCUAAGGCUAAAUACUCUCUAGUGACCGAUAGUGAACCAGUACCGUGAGGGAAAGGUGAAAAGCACCCCGGAAGGGGAGUGAAAUAGAACCUGAAACCGUGUGCUUACAAGUAGUCAGAGCCCGUUAAUGGGUGAUGGCGUGCCUUUUGUAGAAUGAACCGGCGAGUUACGAUUUGAUGCAAGGUUAAGCAGUAAAUGUGGAGCCGUAGCGAAAGCGAGUCUGAAUAGGGCGUUUAGUAUUUGGUCGUAGACCCGAAACCAGGUGAUCUACCCUUGGUCAGGUUGAAGUUCAGGUAACACUGAAUGGAGGACCGAACCGACUUACGUUGAAAAGUGAGCGGAUGAACUGAGGGUAGCGGAGAAAUUCCAAUCGAACCUGGAGAUAGCUGGUUCUCUCCGAAAUAGCUUUAGGGCUAGCCUCAAGUGAUGAUUAUUGGAGGUAGAG